GUCAGACCUGCGAGGAGAAGGUCAUCCAGAGGUAAGAGUUCCCAUAGGGAACCGCCUUCUCCUGCCGCCAAUUGGCGGUCUUGCAGGUCAGGAGGU
rnacentral:ncRNA from 1 species